rnacentral:misc_RNA from 1 species
ACUGGUGGUCCAGCUGCCAUGAUGAGGUACUGGAAUGACAGAGAUGUCUUGAAAAAAUUGGGCGAAGCAAUGGGUUUUGCAGUUUAUGGAGAUGCUGCCAAUGCUGAAAGUUCUGCUGCAGAUGAUUCAGAAGAAAUAGGGAAUGAUGAUGAAUCUGUAGUUCAUCAAACUGCUAGUGUCGGUGAUGCUGAGGGCUUAAAAACUGCACUGGCAGCUGGUGCAAACAAAGACGAAGAAGAUUCAGAGGGAAGGACCGCAUUGCAUUUUGCAUGUGGGUAUGGCGAGGCGAAAUGCGCUCAGAUCCUUCUCGAAGCUGGAGUGAAGGUGGAUGCACUGGAUAAGAAUAAGAACACUGCACUUCAUUA